GGUUUUAUUACCUUGUGCCAAGUGGUAAGGUGUUGUUCUCGUAAACCGAAGAUCCAGGGUUCAAUCCCCUGCUGGGCCU